rnacentral:tRNA from 1 species
GGUUGUGGCUCAGUGGUAAAAUGCUCACCUGGUAUGUGCAGGGCCCUGGGUUCGAUUCUCAGCACCA